CGGAAUGGUCUAAAUAUAUUUCUAUUUCACCAAAAGUUUGAUUUUUGAAAAUUUGUUGGUCCUUGAUUAAGUAAACAAGUAAACAAGGACAUCGAAAGCACUACUUUGUGUCAGAGUAAGGCUACUUUUACAUACGUUCUACAGUGGAGGGAGUAAUUGGUGGUGUGACACCAGCAGAUCAAAUUAACGCAGAUUUUAGUAUUUUCAUAUCACACUCUGUGUAGUGAUGAUACGAGAAAUUUCUAUUCAUGCAAAAAAUAGAUAAUAAGACACAAC
rnacentral:lncRNA from 1 species